ensembl:lncRNA
CGGCCAGAAGCCGGUGAAAUCAGUGGGCGAGACACCUUAACGUGAACACAGACAUGCGUGUAACGUGGGUAUGUUUUGAAGCAGGAUGCAUGCUUUACCUGAUUUCUUAGGUAAAAUAGAAGCUGUUACCUGAAGCUCCCACCUGGGGUGGGCUGGCUUCUCCUGGCCUCCCAUUGCCAGGAGCUCAGCGAAGGAGCCAGGGAGACCCUCUGCCCGUGGCCCUCUGUGCCCGAGGUCCUGCGGGCCUACCGUGCGGAGUGCCCUGUGGCGGUGGGGCUGUCCAGUCCCUGGGGAGCUGUCUCGGUCACCACCGGGUGGGCCUGCAGCUCUGGGGUCAGAGAGGCGGGGAGUAGAGAGGAUUUCUUGUAGGGCCUCGGAGUGUUUCACUGAAGCAUCUCCAGCAUCAUUAAUACUGGGCUUCCUGGUGGCUCAGUCAGUAAAGAACCCGCCUGCAGUGCAGGAGACCUGGGUUCAGUCCCUGCAUCAGGAAGAGCCCCCACUCCAGGAUUGCUGCCUGGAGAGUCCCAUGCCCAGAAAAGCCUGGUGGGCCAGUGUCCAUGGGGCCACAAACAGUCGGGUAUGACGGAGCAGCCAAUGGUAAAGGAACAAAACGGGGAGACGAGAUCAGCAGUAGAAGCAAGCAGUCAUGUAACUGGGAGGAUACUAAUGAUUUAAUUUGCAUACAUGGCCAAAGCAUUUUUUUAUGACUGCCUCGAUAAUAAAAGACAGGCUGACGAUCACAUUGAAGCAAAUAAAGAAAUCCAUUAAUUCUCCUAUUCAUUUUCUAAAAAAAAAAAAAAAAAAGGUACUCCCGGCUCUCACAGUGACAGUUUAAUGAUUAGGGUGCCUAAUUUUAAUCCGUUACGUGGGUGCAUGCCCCGCCGAGCUUGGGAACCCAGCUCCCGUUGGUGUGCUUGUGUGCGGUGAAGAGUACAGAGAUCCGGGGGACCUCGGGUGAGAUCAGAGCCUGGCAGCCCUCUGUCCCCUCCUCGCCCUGCGGGAGCGCCGGCCUCGGUGGGCAGAGCCUGUGUGCACGAUGUCCUGGGUGUUACAUUUUUUUGCAUGUGAAUAAAAUGCACCUUUAUUCUCUCCUUUUCAUUUCUUUUGAAUUUGAAAAGUGGGUUUCAGUUCCCCAGACCUUACAUUUUCCUAGCUAAAGCGUGUUUCGCAUGCAGAUGUAGUUAGAUAACAAAGAGGCAUGUUUGUGUUGUAGUGACUACAUUAAAAAAAAAGAUACUGCUGAAUUGUAAGUUGCAUUUUUAGAGCACGCUAAACUGAAGUGCGAGGGUCAUUUGUCUGCCGCUGCAGCUCAGCUGGCUUCCUGUUUCCCUUGUAAUGAUUGAGGACGCCGUUCAGGGAGGCCACGCCCCUACUCUUAAUUCUUAGGGCCUGCUGCUUCCAUCACGAGUACGCGUGCUUGUCACCCGCUCCGGGGGCAGCUCAGUUGCCGCACGUGUUUUUUACGGCGUGUUUGCUGGGUGAGGGUGUUUUACUCAAAUUUGGUCAUUUCGUCAAGUUGCCGGGACACAGGCGUUUGUUCACCCUGCCACAUCCUGGAGGUUAUGCUGCGGAGGGGCCUCUGAUGAGUAGUAAGUAUCACUGUGUGCUGGGAAGUUCAGAUUCGGCGUGUUUCCUUAGUUUCUGAAACGGGAUUGCAAGGCUAGGUGGAGAGUGAUGCUCAGCAGGCAUCCGUGAAGUUGGGACCAAGAAGGGAGAGAGUCCACGUUGUAAAGAAGCUUGGCAGUGCCCAGGGUGUGUGUGUCUCUGAGGAGAGAAGGGAGCAGGGCACAGCCGUUAACAGCAGGAGACGAGAGCAGAGAGCAGCCACCGGGCCGAAAUGCCGGAAGGGCCCGGCUCCCAGGAGACCCCGGGCCUCGCUACGCACGCUGCAAUGUGUGUGUAGAGGGGGCUCAUUGUAAUAGAUUCGCAUCUAAAUGACACACCCACCGGAACCUCAACCAUAAAAGGCCAGAAGGUGGGCGGUGCCCCAGUUCCUGGAAAUGCCCACCCCUUCUUGAAGACAGAAUAUUCCUCCCACUUGUCAUCCUGUGACGUCGCCCUGCCCAUAAACCAACCCCCCUGCGCUAGGGGCCCUCUCGCACUUUCCAAGAUGACCCCAUGCCCUCGGGCUGCCUCUGGACCUCUGAGAAGGUCUACGCUGUCUGUGUAGCGUGGGUCUCUUUAAACAAGCCUCUUUCCUCUUUCCUGCAUGAGCCAAGGACCCUCACAUGGCAGCCCGUCCCAGGAAUUCACUUAGUACCUGGGACACAACCAUCCUCUUGUGCCCCAUUUUCCCCCUGCAGCGUCUUUGCUGGGGACCAUGAAGGGACCGCAGAGGGCAUAAUCCCCAUCCCCUGUUGCGCUAGGGCUCCCCUCAGCUCAGGGCGGCUGGGGCUUGUACUGAGCCGUGUCAUCUGUUUGACUCAGGGUCUAGCCCUCCCUUCCUCUGUCUCUGAAGGGUUCCGGCCCUGGGACUCUGGUUGCCUUUCUUCCACUGACUGUUGUUCCUUUCCUUGACUAAUCCAAGGGGCCUCCUCAGGCUCACCAAACGCAGGUUUUUGGGUGCCCACAAGGACCCCACUGUUGCUUUUCCCAGUUUUGCUUGCUUAAUUAAAUACUUUUUCUGCUGAAUUCCAGGAGUCAGGGUUUUUACAGAUCAGUCCAAUUAUUCCGUCUCCUGAAUUGCCAUUGAACUUUUCUCCAUGGCACUCCCUUGAGGGGGUCCACCCACGAAGGUCCCUGCAGCACACUCCCUUGGACUCUUUGAAUAUUAGGGAGAGCACGGGGACAAAUGGCCACUAUCUGCCCAGGAUCCAUCAGACCCAUGUCUUGUGGCGUCUUAACCAAAAUGGGGAAGACCCAUACAUCCAAAAAUUCACAAACCUAUCCUGCAGUCCAGGUCUAAAGACCUCCUACUGGGUGUGCCUGGCUCACACCCCCUUAAAGUUUCCUUCUUUCCCAGCAGGAGCCUGGUGUUUUAGACAGUCCCUUUAUGAGACCACCUCCCCGAGGCCCACCACUGGGCACUGAUGCCAGCCGCAGUUCUGAGAGGCUGACAGUCUGCUGAACCCUCUACCGCUAAUGUCGCAAUCGGGGAGCUGGAGGUCCCAGAGCCCUGAGAAUCAGCUCAUGGACUUGGCCUUUGGAGCACUCAACGGUAGAGUUAAGGUGAAGAAGACGACGACUCAGGGACAGCAGCCGGAGUCACCGUCACUGGUGGCAGCCCCAACGCCUGCACCACGUCAGGCUUGCAUCCCUGCAGAAGCCCACGUGGGGACAGGGUCCAGGAAGCCUGGGUCAGAGCCACUGCCUUUCCAGGAAAGGGUCGAUCUGCUUUAAGUGCGGCCAAGAGGACCACUGGAAAGACGAGUGCCCCCUGCGUGGGAAAGUCCGUUGGAAAAAAAAAAAAAAGAAAGUCCGUCGGGACCCUGCCCACCACACAGAUGACAGGAUGAUGGCAAAAACUCAGCCCCUGUGUCCCAGAGCCGAACCGAAUUUUGGAGACAGUGUUUUGGAUGAAAUAGAAAAGACGAGCUUUAUUGCUUUGCCAGGCAGAGGGGACAGACAGCAGGCUCCUGCCCUGAAAAGCUGUGUGUCCCAACCUGGGAGGAUUUGGUGAGGAGUUUCUAGCAGCGGCUCAAGGGCAGGGCUGCUGGGAAAGGUAAGGAUGUGUGCAGGGCCUGCACCCCUUUCAUCUGGCCUCAAGGGGCCCUGAUGAGCUGCUCAGGGAUAUCAAACUGUGGAUUUUUUCUCUGGAAGGAAGAAUACUAAUGUCUUCCACUUGUCAGGGUUUUUAGUUCUGUAAAAAGCUCAAAGACACUGUUACGUGUAUUCCGUGAGGCAGAGUCAGGACCCCGCCCCAGGCUGCACUGUUUCUUGGCUCUCCCUGCCUUGUCUCUGCAUCCUCUCCUGUCCCUGAUGAGCAGCUGUUUGAAUCUGCCCUUUGGAACUCAGGAAAGGUCAGAGACGAGUCUGUUCCCUACAAACGAGAGACGGGAGACAUGGGAAGCCCACAGGGUUCUGCUUGGUUUCUGGGGCCCCUGGAAGGAGGGCAUUCCCCAGUCCCAAGGGGGACUCAGGGCUCCCAAGCCAGUGAUGGCCGAGAGGAUCAGAGACUGACGGGCCCAGGACCUUCCCUGGCUCCCAGAUGACACCUGGUCGUUUCUCCAGCGGAGCCUCGGGUGACCCUCGACAGACAGCUGGGACAGUUGUUUCCUUACUAGAUAACACGGUUGCCUGCUCCUCACUGGCUGGUAUCUGGGGCCCUUGUUCCUCCAGUCCUGUGUGAUAAUGGAAAUGGAGGGAAGACCCCAAGCCGAGUGGUGGACCCUGCCCUGCCCCCACCCCACCCCCGGCUCCUUUUGGGAGACUUCACCAAGGGAAAUAGUUGCCCUUGGUCAGGGGAGCCUCCUGAUCCUAAGCCAGAGGAGGUCUCCAUUCUACCCCAUCUGCAUUUUUAAACUGUUUCACAGAGCUGGAACUAAAGGUCAGUUUCUUCUGCUUUCCCCCUGCACCCAGACUCCUAGAAUCUCUCUGCCUUUGAGUGGACGAAUCCAGACAGUCGUGGACAGCUGGAACGCCCACACACCGUGUGCUCGUGAACUUGAGGUUGAGAUGGAAAUGGGAUGGGCAAAAAGUUGGGUUAGAACUGUCAGGCUACCGUUAGAGAUGGGACCGUCUGAGGCUGUAGGCAAGCCUCUUAGAUCAAAGGCCACACUUCUUAAAUCCAGAGAGGAUCCUCGGAAGUGUUUGUGAAUGGAUUACUGAAGUGGGAGGCCACUGUCUGACAGAACUGACCAGAGCUGAGAUUCAGAGCCUGGUAGGGAUUUUGGGGGAGGCCUUCUCCCUGAGCUGAAUGACGGUCAGUGAGACUUGCCGACAUAGCUGCAUGGCCCCGUCUGUCCUUUGAUAAUCAUUGAGGUAAACCACCCAGUUUCCUUUGAGGAAACAAACGAUCCUUGUUUUAAAAAUCUAGGCUCUACCAGACAGAUGGGUGGCUCCCAAAAUAAUCCAAAGCCCACCGAUUCUUUUACCACUCCUAAGACCUCCCCUAUUUAUUUUCAGAGACCAGUAAGUACUAAAAAAAAAAAAAAAACAGUCUGGCUUUAGAGGAGGAAGUGAUCCAAGGAGGAGCUGGUAUUUCUCCUACGCCUUUGAGAUGCCAGUACUCGAACCACUUUCCUCCAGGAGCCCUUAUUUCCCCUAGCCUUUUAAAGCUCACAUGUCAGGAAAGAGGGUAGGUGAUUUGGAACUUGACUUGUUCAAGAAGAAUAGGAAUCUCAAGUGUCUCUUCCAUAAGUAGUAGUAAAAAGAGCUUAGUCGUCUAGACAGGUGAGCAUGCUUUGUUUCACCUGCCUGAAGUCCAGUUUGAAUCCAACUCCUUGUAACUGAUAGACUGUACAUUGUUGUACCUGAAUCACGACAAAACGUGAUCACUGGAGGAGGAAGUGGGAAACCAUCCCAGCAUACUUGCCGUGAGAACCUCAUGCACUGUAUAAGAGGGCAAAAAGAUAUGACGCCAAAAGGUGAGUCCCCCAGGCCUGAAGGUGUCCAGCCUGCCCCUGGGGAGGAGCAGAGGAGCCUGAAGCUGCCCAGCAUGCCCCUGGGGAGGAGCAGAGGGGAAGUACCAGGAGCCCCAGAGUAAAUGAAGCAGCUGGGCCAAAGCAGAUAUGAUGCUCAGCUGUGGUUGUGUCUGGCAAUAAAAGUAAAAUCCGAUGCUGCAAAGAACGGUAUUGUUUAGGAACCUGGAAUGUUAGGUCCAUGAAUCAAGGUAAACUGGACCUGGUCAAGCAGAUGAUAAGAAUAAACGUCAGCAUCCUAGGAAUCAGUGAACCAGAAUGGACUGGAAUGGGCGAGUUUAACUCAGAUGACCAUUGUAUCUACUACUGUGGGCAAGAGUACCAUAGAAGAAACGGAGUGACUCUCAAAAUCAACCAAAGAGUCCAAGAUACAGCCCUUGAGUGCAACCUCAAAAAUGACAAUGAUCUCCUAAUUUCCAAGGCAAGCCAUUCAACAUCACAGUAAUCCCAGUCUAUGCCCCGGCCACCAAUGCUGAAGAAGCUGAAGUUGGUCAGUCCUAUGAAGACCGUGAAGACCUCCUAGAACUAACGCCUAAAAGAGAUGUUUAAUCAUCACUGGCGACUGGAAUGUGAAAGUGGGAAGUCGGGAUUAUACCUGGAGUGACAGGCAAGUUUGACCUUGGAGAACAAAGGGAAGCAGGCCAAGGCUAACUGAGUUCUGCCAAGAGGAAGCACCAGCUUAGCGAGGACCCCUCUCCAGCAACACGAGAGACUGUGCACAGGGACGCCGCCAGAUGGUCAGUGUGAAACCAGGCUGACUACGUUCUUUGUGGCCAGACAGAGAAAGCGAAAACAAGACCUGGAGCUGACUUAUGGCUCAGAUCAUCAGCUUCUCAUAGCAGCAUUCAGGCUUAAACUAAAGAAAACCAGGAAAAACACUAGGCCAGCCAGGUAUGACUUCAGUCAAAUCCCGUAUGAAUUUGCAGAAGAGGAAACGAGUGGACUCAAGGGGCUAGACCUCGUUACCAGUGUGGCUGAAGAACGGCGGGCAGAGCUCUGUAAUAAUGUGCAGAAGGCCACGAGCAAGACCGUCCCAAAGAAGAGAAAAGCAAGAAAGCAGAGUGCUUGUCUGAGGAGGCUUUACAAAUAGCAGAAGAGUGAAGAGAAGUGAAAAGCAAGGGAGAGAGGGAAAACGACAUCCAAAGGUGGCCGUUUCCUUCUCCAGUGCAUGAAAGUGAAAAGGGAAAGUGAAGGCGCUCAGUCCUGUCCAGCUCUUAGCGACCCCAUGGACUGUGGUCCACCAGGCUCCUCCAUCCAUGGGAUUUUCUAGGCAAGAGUACUGGAGUGGGGUGCCAUUGCCUUCUCCGAAUUAAACACAGAGUUCCAAAGAAUAUCUAGGAGAGACAAUGAACAGUGCUUAAUAAUAUAGGAAAGUAACAAAAGGGGAAAGACUGGAGAUCUCUUCAGUAAAAUUCGAAAUAUCAAGGGAGCGUUCUGCCCAAAGAUGGGCACAAUAAAGGAUACAAAUGGUAGAGACCUAGUAGCUGCUGAAGAGAUCAAGAAGAAAUGGAAAGAAUGCAUGGAAGAGCUAUAUAAAAAGAUCUUAAUAAACUGGAUUACGACGAUGGUGCGGUUAGUCACCCAGGUCGGACAUCCUGGAGUGCCCAGUCAGAUGGUCCUUAGGAAGCAGUAGAUGUGAUGAAAUUCCAGCAGAGCUAUUCACAUCCCUAAAGGAUGAUGCCGUCAAGGUUUUGCACUCAUUCCAUCAGCAAAUCUGGAAGCCCAGCAGCGGCUGCAGGACUGGAAAAGGUCAGUCCUCCUCCCAGUUCGCACGAAGGGUAGUACCAGAGAAUGUGCUAACCGUAGAAUAGCCGCACUCGUCUCCCGUGCUGGUGAGGUCACGCUUGAAAUCUUGCCUGCUAGGCUUCAGCAUUAUGUGAACCAAGAACUUCCAGAUGUCCAAGCUGGGUUUAGAAAAGGAAGAGAAACUAGAGAUCAGAUUGCCAACUUUUGCUGAUUAUAGAGACAGCAAGGGAAUUUCAGAAAAACAUCUAUCUCUGUUGCAUCAACCACACUAAAGCCUUUGUGUAGGUGAUGACAAACUCUGGAAAGCUCUUAGGGAGAUUGAAGUACCAGACCAUCUUACCUGUCUCCUGAGAAAGCUGUAUGUGGGUCAAGAAGCAACUGUUAGGACCCUGUACGGAACAACUGACUGGUUCAAGAUUCAGAAAGGAGUCUGAUAGGGCUGUCUGCUGUCAACCCGUUUGUUUAACCUAUGUGCUGAGCACAUCGUGAGCAUUGCUGGGCUGGAUGAGUUACAGGCUGGAAUCAAGAGAGGCGGGAGAAACAUCAGCAACCUCAGAUAUGCUGCUGACACCGCGGUAAUGGCAGAAAGCAAAGAGGAACCAAAGAGCCUCUUGAUGAGGGUGAAGGCGGAGCGUGGAAGAGCCAGCUUAAGACCAAAUAUUGAAAAAACUAAGAUCAUGGCGUCCGGCCCCAUUACUUCAUGGCAAACAGAAGGGGAAACGGUGGAAGCAGUGACGGAUUUCCUUCCCUUGGGCUCCAGAAUCACUGGGGACGGUGGCUGCAGCCGUGAAGCCAGAAGACGAUCGCUUCUUGGCAGUAGAGCGGUGACACGCACGGUGCUGAGAAGCAGAGAUGUCGCUCUGCCGACCAAGGGCCGUGUAGUCGAGUCUGUGGUCUUCCUGGUGGUCAUGAAUGGUUGUGAGAGCUGGACUGUAAAGAAAGCUGAGCGCCGAAGAACGAUGCCUUCGGACUGUGGUGCUGGAGAAGACUCCUGAAAGUCCCUCAGAUGGCAAGGGGAUCCACCCUGACUGUUCCCUGGAAAGACUGAUGCUGAAGCUGAAGCUCCAGGAUUCUGGUCAUCUGAUGAGAACAGACGACUCAUUGGAAAAGUCCCUGAUGCUGGGAAGGAUUAAGGGCAGAA